GUCCUACGGGGCGCAGCAGUGGGGGAUAUUGCACAAUGGGGGGAACCCUGAUGCAGCGACGCCGCGUGGGCGAUGGAGUACUUCGGUAUGUAAAGCCCUAUCAGCAGGGAAGAAAAUGACGGUACCUGACUAAGAAGCCCCGGCUAAAUACGUGCCAGCAGCCGCGGUAAUACGUAUGGGGCAAGCGUUAUCCGGAUUUACUGGGUGUAAAGGGAGCGUAGGCGGUGCAGCAAGUCAGAAGUGAAAGCCCGGGGCUCAACUCCGGGACUGCUUUUGAAACUGUUGAACUAGAUUGCAGGAGAGGG
rnacentral:rRNA from 1 species